GGACCCGCACAAGCGGUGGAGCAUGUGGUUUAAUUCGAUGCAACGCGAAAAACCUUACCUACUCUUGACAUACUUGGAAUGCUUUGUAAUGAAGCAGUGCCUUCGGGAGCCAGGAUACAGGUGCUGCAUGGCUGUCGUCAGCUCGUGUCGUGAGAUGUUCCGUUAAGUCGGAUAACGAGCGCAACCCUUACCCUUAUUUGCCAGCGAUUCGGUCGGGAACUAUAAGGGGACUGCCGGUGAUAAACCGGAGGAAGGUGAGGACGACGUCAAGUCAUCAUGGCCCUUACGAGUAGGGCUACACACGUGCUACAAUGGGGAAUACAGACGGACGCUAAGCCGCGAGGUGGUGCUAAUCCUAGAAAGUUUCUCGUAGUCCGGAUUGGAGUCUGCAACUCGACUCCAUGAAGCUGGAGUU
rnacentral:rRNA from 1 species